UACGUAGGGAGCAAGCGUUGUCCGGAAUUAUUGGGCGUAAAGGGCUCGUAGGCGGUCUGUUGCGUCGGGAGUGAAAACUCAGGGCUUAACCCUGAGCCUGCUUCCGAUACGGGCAGACUAGAGGUAUGCAGGGGAGAACGGAAUUCCUGGUGUAGCGGUGAAAUGCGCAGAUAUCAGGAGGAACACCGGUGGCGAAGGCGGAUCUCUGGACAGUUCCUGACGCUGGAGGCACGAAGGCCAGGGGAGCAAACGGGG
rnacentral:rRNA from 1 species